rnacentral:rRNA from 1 species
AGAGUUUGAUCAUGGCUCAGGACGAACGCUGGCGGCGUGCUUAACACAUGCAAGUCGAGCGGGGAGAGAUUUUCGGAUUUCUCUUUAGCGGCGGACGGGUGAGUAACACGUGGGUAACCUGCCUCAAAGAGGGGGAUAGCCUUCCGAAAGGAAGAUUAAUACCGCAUAAUAUCAGGGAGCUGCAUGGCAUUCUGAUCAAAGGAGCAAUCCGCUUUGAGAUGGACCCGCGGCGCAUUAGCUAGUUGGUGAGGUAACGGCCCACCAAGGCGACGAUGCGUAGCCGACCUGAGAGGGUGAUCGGCCACAUUGGAACUGAGACACGGUCCAGACUCCUACGGGAGGCAGCAGUGGGGAAUAUUGCACAAUGGGGGAAACCCUGAUGCAGCAACGCCGCGUGAGUGAUGAAGGCCUUCGGGUCGUAAAGCUCUUUGAUCAGGGACGAUAAUGACGGUACCUGAAAAACAAGCCACGGCUAACUACGUGCCAGCAGCCGCGGUAAUACGUAGGUGGCGAGCGUUGUCCGGAUUUACUGGGCGUAAAGAAUGCGUAGGUGGAUAUUUAAGUGGGAUGUGAAAUCCCCGGGCUCAACCCGGGAACUGCAUACCAAACUGGAUAUCUGGAGUGCAGGAGAGGAAAGCGGAAUUCCUAGUGUAGCGGUGAAAUGCGUAGAUAUUAGGAGGAACACCAGUGGCGAAGGCGGCUUUCUGGACUGUAACUGACACUGAGGCAUGAAAGCGUGGGGAGCAAACAGGAUUAGAUACCCUGGUAGUCCACGCCGUAAACUAUGGGUACUAG